rnacentral:rRNA from 1 species
GAUGAACGCUGGCGGCGUGCCUAGUACAUGCAAGUCGAGCGAACGGACGAGAAGCUUGCUUCUCUGAUGUUAGCGGCGGACGGGUGAGUAACACGUGGAUAACCUACCUAUAAGACUGGGAUAACUUCGGGAAACCGUAGCUAAUACCGGAUAAUAUUUUGAACCGCAUGGUUCAAAAGUGAAAGACGGUCUUGCUGUCACUUAUAGAUGGAUCCGCGCUGCAUUAGCUAGUUGGUAAGGUAACGGCUUACCAAGGCAACGAUGCAUAGCCGACCUGAGAGGGUGAUCGGCCACACUGGAACUGAGACACGGUCCAGACUCCUUCGGGAGGCAGCAGUAGGGAAUCUUCCGCAAUGGGCGAAAGCCUGACGGAGCAACGCCGCGUGAGUGAUGAAGGUCUUCGGAUCGUAAAACUCUGUUAUUAGGGAAGAACAUAUGUGUAAGUAACUGUGCACAUCUUGACGGUACCUAAUCAGAAAGCCACGGCUAACUACGUG